rnacentral:rRNA from 1 species
AUUAAUAAUAAAAGCUAGCUCUCUGCAACUCUCAUAUGGUUGCCCACUGAAGCUAAGCAGGGCUGCGCCUGGUCCUGGAUGGGAGACCACAUUGGAAAGCUUGGUUGUUGUUGGAA